rnacentral:rRNA from 1 species
CACGUAGGGCGCAAGCGUUGUCCGGAAUUAUUGGGCGUAAAGAGCUCGUAGGCGGUCUGUUGCGUCCGCUGUGAAAACCCAGGGCUUAACCCUGGGCUGGCAGUGGAUACGGACAGACUAGAGGUAGGUAGGGGAGAAUGGAAUUCCCGGUGUAGCGGUGAAAUGCGCAGAUAUCGGGAGGAACACCGGUGGCGAAGGCGGUUCUCUGGGCCUUACCUGACGCUGAGGAGCGAAAGCGUGGGGAGCGAACAGU